rnacentral:rRNA from 1 species
CCUACGGGUGGCAGCAGUGAGGAAUAUUGGUCAAUGGACGAGAGUCUGAACCAGCCAAGUCGCGUGAAGGAUGACUGCCCUAUGGGUUGUAAACUUCUUUUAUAAGGGAAUAAAACGAGGCACGUGUGCCUUUAUGCAUGUACUUUAUGAAUAAGGAUCGGCUAACUCCGUGCCAGCAGCCGCGGUAAUACGGAGGAUCCGAGCGUUAUCCGGAUUUAUUGGGUUUAAAGGGAGCGUAGAUGGGUUGUUAAGUCAGUUGUGAAAGUUUGCGGCUCAACCGUAAGAUUGCAAUUGAUACUGGCAGGCUUGAGUACAGUUGAGGUAGGCGGAAUUCGUGGUGUAGCGGUGAAAUGCUUAGAUAUCACGAAGAACCCCGAUUGCGAAGGCAGCUUACUAAACUGUGACUGACAUUGAUGCUCGAAAGCGUGGGUAUCAAACAGGAUUAGAUACCCUAGUAGUC